CUUCCGGCAAAGCGGUGCGCCCGUCGCCCACGGACACACAUGCAUACAUGCGUACAUGCAGACCGAUAGACACACCACGAAGAUGGGACCGGAGACCAUACUGGCGGUCGACGAUGUCUCCUUCCAAUACCCCAACGCACCUGCCGCUUCGUUGAGGCAGGUGAGCGUUACGGCCUAUCGCGGAGAUCGAAUUCUCGUGAUCGGGCACAACGGGAGCGGCAAGUCGACACUGCUGUCUCUUCUCGCAGGCCGGCGAAAACCGCAAUCAGGGCGUGUGCGCGUGCUCGGACGCGAUCCGUUUGACGACACCAGUGUAGCUCAGCACAUCUCCAUGAUUGGUGCACCAUGGCCACCCGAGGCGGUGUUCGGCAACACUGUGGACCGCGUGGCCUCGCCGGCGCCGGUACCAGAGCGAAAGGCGAGUAUCGCCGACGCGCUGCACCUACGCCUCUCCCGCUUCUUGGAGAAGAUGAGCUGGGGCGAAAGGAGACGGGUUCAGAUCCUUUAUGGCAUGCUCUACCCCGCCACCGUGUACCUCCUCGACGAGUGCAGCACCGACAUCGACGUUGCAGAGCGGCGCACUGUGCUGGAACUGGUACGGCAGGAGUGCGAGGCGAAGGACGGGUGCUGCGUGUAUGCGACCCACAUUCUCGACGGAAUUGAAGGCUGGGCCACCCACCUGCUGCUCAUGGAGGGGGGCCGUGUGGUGGACUUCAAGGCGGUGGAAAAGCUCACCAUGCCCUUGGAGGACUACGCGCUCCAGUUCAUGAGCAAGCGCGCCCACGCUGCUCGCGGCUUCGACGCCGUGGCGGCGCCGUCGCUGUCGCAGGGGAGUUCUGCGGCCAUUUCAACGACGUUGUCAGCUUGCCCAACGACAUCUUCAGCCGCCUACCCAACCCCUUCGACAGCCGACGCGCCGGUCACGUAUUGGCCACGAGGGCACGCGGACGAGAAGCGAAGCGAAAUCGUCAUCAACUGUGCGCAGCUGAACUAUAAGGAUGUGUUUAAGAACUUGUCGUUUCAGGUGUUCCGCGGCGAGCGGGUGCUGCUGUGCGGCGGUAACGGCACUGGCAAGUCCACCUUGCUGAACAUGCUUGGCGGAAAGCAGUUCUUUGACAACCGCCACGGCUCUCUCUCCGUGCUUGGUAAGCGGUGCUACGAUGACAUGCUGCUGAACGCUCUUGUCAGCUACGGCGGCGAUUGGUGGACUGCCGUGCCCGGUGGGGAGGUGCACGUGCGCGAAAUGCUCCAGCUUCGGACCUCUCGUGCCGAGCGCUUGCGUGAGAUGCUGGCCGUGGACAUAGACUGGGAUGUGCGACACAUCAGCGCUGGAGAGCAGAAGCGUGUGCAACUGCUCUUGCACUUGCUGGAUGACAAGCCCGUCGUGCUGCUUGAUGAGGCGACCACCGACCUGGACGUUUAUCAGCGCCACAGCCUCCUGCAGUUCCUCUACGAAGAGAGCGUGCAGCGCGGGGUGACAGUCGUCUACUCGACGCACAUUUUCGGGGGUCUAGAGGGCUGGGCCAACGCUGUGGUACUACUGGACCGGACCAUGCGCGGCGUUCAUGCGGUGUGGCGCACCUCUGAAGGGAAGCCCAUCUCACUGCAGCGCGUCGUCGAUGCAAUCGUUGCUCUUAAGGCGCGAGAAGCCUUUUGAGCAGUAGCCUUCCUCACUACUGACAACACACUCGCGCACAAACACACGCGUGCGCACAAUCCGUUCAUCCUCUGGCCGCAAUCGUGGGGGCCGUCACGGCUGCUGUAGCCACACCUGCAACAUGCAGCCACCCCCCUGCCCCCUUUAAGGCUGGGGGAAUCGGAUGAACAAAAAACAAAACGGAGAGUGGCCCAAGAAGAGGCACACAUUCGUACAGAAGCAUGGCCGGGGGGGCAGCCAGAGGUGAUGCCACUGCUGGUGCGCCUUGUGGUGCGGCUACCCGUCCUUGGCCGCCUUGCGCAUAACAUUAUUGCGUGUCUUUUGAUCGGCGUAGUGCUCGCGUGUGCUGUAGUGGGUGGCUGGCGAUGCUUCACACGACCCGGAACGCCGACAAGGACAUUAAUGCUCCCCUUCCCCACCCUACAUGGGGCGGCUUCCUCAUGCUCUCUCUCUUUCACCCUUUUCCUUUUCAUGUCGUCACGCAUUUGCUUGCUCGCCGUGCCUCUUGGCCGAGUAG
rnacentral:misc_RNA from 1 species